CCUACGGGUGGCAGCAGUGAGGAAUAUUGGUCAAUGGACGCGAGUCUGAACCAGCCAUGCCGCGUGAAGGAAGACGGCUCUAUGGGUUGUAAACUGCUUUUGUACGGGGGUAAACGGAGGUACGCGUACCUGUCUGAAAGUAUCGUACGAAUAAGGAUCGGCUAACUCCGUGCCAGCAGCCGCGGUAAUACGGAGGAUUCAAGCGUUAUCCGGAUUUAUUGGGUUUAAAGGGUGCGUAGGCGGGUGGAUAAGUUAGUGGUGAAAGCCCGAGGCUCAACUUCGGAAUUGCCUCUGAUACUGGUCGGCUAGAGAGUAGUUGCGGUAGGCGGAAUGUAUGGUGUAGCGGUGAAAUGCUUAGAGAUCACACAGAACACCGAUUGCGAAGGCAGCUUACCAAGCUACUACUGACGUUGAGGCACGAAAGUGUGGGGAGCAAACAGGAUUAGAUACCCCGGUAGUC
rnacentral:rRNA from 1 species